rnacentral:lncRNA from 1 species
AAGGACGGAAGCGGAAGCCGGAGUCCGGCAUGGAACACCUCCUGAUACAGGUAAAAACGAUCGGGUGGGGAAGUGCUGGCCCGGUCAGAGGGACUAGGCAGCUCCAGAUCGUACUCCGGAGGAACUUCAUACUGAACCCUUAUCAGAAGGAGUUCCUCCGGGGUCAGGAAACAUGGAACAGCGCCCGGUGCAAAAAUCGGGCGGAGCCCAGCCCCAGACACGGGUUCGUCUACAGAACGAGGGACCUGGGGGUUUGAGGCAGAAGAACUCCCGGAACUGCAGGGAGCGGAAGAGCCGGACAACAUUUCGAAUAACUUCGAAUGAGGGCUCUAAAGAUCCCGAAGAAGACGGACAGGAUGAGGGGCGAGAGGUCACAGGAAACUAACUCGGAGGAAUACAAAAAUAUAUAUAUAUAUAAUGGCAAAGAAGAGGUCCCUAAGUGGCGGGAAGAAAGAUAAAGGUGCUGGAACUAACCUAGAUCGCUCUGAGGGAUGCAGAGGGACGAAGACAGGGACGAUUUGAAGGGCGCCUAUGGCCCGAGAGGACACCAACAGAAACAGGGCUCUCGAAGGGAGGGCAGAUACUGCUAGAACUCUGGAACGGAAUAGGGCCCCUAAAGGUGGAAGGACGGGUUUAAAUAGACCCUGGGAUCCGACGCCAUAAUGAUCACGAAUCCCCCCAGGCCAGCCCGCGCCCGACACGUGUCCCACUCCCCCG